rnacentral:rRNA from 1 species
UACAGAGGUCUCAAGCGUUGUUCGGAUUCAUUGGGCGUAAAGGGUGUGUAGGUGGCGCGCUAAGUCGGGUGUGAAAUUUCGGAGCUUAACUCCGAAACUGCAUUCGAUACUGGCGUGCUUGAGGACUGGAGAGGAGACUGGAAUUUACGGUGUAGCGGUGAAAUGCGCAGAUAUCAGGAGGAACACCGGUGGCGAAGGCGGGUCUCUGGGGCCGAUACUGACGCUGAGGAGCGAAAGCGUGGGGAGCGAACAGG